AAAAAUAAAUCAAUAUUACUGACUCACAGCAACUCUAAUGUAACAACAGUUGUUGUGCCUCGCCGUUUCCCGUCUAUACUUUGCUGAAAACGCCAAGCUGCAUGGUCCCGACUGACUGCGCCAAAACAAACGUUAAAAUAUGCGCAACCACUAAAAACCUCCUUCUUGUUACUUUUUGUUUCAGAUCAAUUAUGAUCUUAAAUAAAUAAAAUAAAAAAAAAAUCAACCAGAGUACGACUUCCUCUUUGGUUCACUCAAAUUUGGCAAUCCAAGUAACGUUAAUAUCGAGUUACGAAACACUGCAGGGAUCUGGAGUCAAUACUGUUGACUUUUUACCCUCAUUGAUUUGAUGCCCAAUCCUAUAAAAUGUGCAACUUUAUAACAAAACAAAAACACAGCACUUAAAAAUAUUGAGCUUUUAGUUCUAGAACGUCCGAGCUCACUAAUGUUAGAGCUACUAGUUAACGGUGGCUAACCACUUAAGCGGAUGUAAUACACUUUAGAGCGAUAAAAGCAACCGUUUCUGAAUUAUAUGCUUGGCAAGUUUCGUUAGGCUGGUACACGGCAUGGAUGAGCUUUUUGUCUCGAACGGCGAGCCAUUGACGAAGCGACGAGCCGCCAUUACGGACCAGCGCGGAGCAGACAAGAGAGACGAGUACAAAAAGUACCGCUCAGCCAGUUGGAUAAUUUACCUUCUCAAUGAAGUGGGACUGUUCUUGUUCACAGCGUGAAGCUCGGGCAAUUGGUGUAAAGACUUUUAUUUCGGUAGGAACCUGUAAAUUUACUUAGCAGUAACGGCUAACAGCUAAAAACACGAAGAUGUCAGCAAAAAAAAAAAAAUAGCUGACCACUUUUCUCCCCCCCCCUCAAAGGAAAUGGGCGGGGCUUAUGAGUACAGAAGGAUUACGUAAUUAUUCCUUUGAGCUUUGUGAUUGGAGGAAAAAGUUUGAGCGUGCCGUGCCAUAAAGUUCGAGUUUGCAGGAGUUGUACAAUAAAACAGUAUUAACAGUAGAAUAAAAUAUUAUUGCAUAUUGUUAUUCUGUACUUGUAGUUGUAAAAAAAACAUAUGGGGAAAUUUUCUAUUCAAAGUAUGUAAGGUUUAAACAAAUAUACUUGCACUUGUGUAAUAAUACUACUGUUGUGCAAUAAUUCAAUGGAUUAUGAUCUUAUUACUUAAAUCCUGCUCUCCACUAAACCUGUAUUAAGUCAGAGAUAUUAAUCUGUACUUUAAUAGCUUUUUUUUUUUUUUUUUUUACAUGCCUCCAAAAUUGUAGUGGGGAAGUAGAGUUCACUCAAAUUAUCAUCUCAAAAUAAAAGUAAUAUAAUACCGACAUGUUUCUUCAGUCUUUCCUUAUUCUUAGAUAUUACCAUCUAUUUUAAAGUGAAGCUUUUGCCACUUUUUUAAUGGUCAGUCAAGUCUUGACUGAAUUUUGAACAUGAUAUUUUAUGGGGUACAACAUCUAUUGUUAUAACUUUUUGCAGCUUGAUUUUCUGGUAUUUUGAAAUCUUUUAUUAAAUGCAUAGUUUGUUUUUCUUGGAUUUGCAAUUUUUUGCAUACUCUGCAUCUGAAAGUACAUUUUUUACUGGAGCGCACAUGUUGUUUUAUGCAUCAUGUAGAUUAUGAAUAAAUUAGGAUAAAAUUUGAAGUUCUUGUCCCUAUUUUACAAGGAACUGUAUAGGUUUCCAACAUGGUAUGUGGUUUCAAAUUCUUUUUAUAAUCACUGUGCAGAAAUAUGGAAAAUCUGAACAUAUAAUACAACACAACAGAUUAACAUUAAAAGAGGCUAUUUUCAAAUAAUGUAAAGUCUUAACAUAUCAGUACCUGUCAUUCUAUAUGCACUACUAUGAGUACAGAAAUAUUGAGGCACAGUGUAUGAUUAAAUGUUUCGGUUUAUUCUGAUUUACUUAUACAUUAAGUAUAAAACAAAGUACAACAAACCAUAAUGGUAGAAAGCAAAAUGGUAAAGGGUGUAUCACUUAAUAUUUAACAUAUUGAGUUAAAACACCUCCAUAGACAGUGGAUUACACCCUCUUGAAGCAAAUGUAGAUUUCACACAGUAAUUAAUAUACAACAUAUUUAGAGUGCAUACACAAAAUAUUGACAACUCAGUAGAGAUCAAUGCAAUCUUAAGUACACUACUGGGUAGAAUUGAUCAGUUUUUCUUAGUCUUUAAAAAAUUAGCAUCAUGUUUAUUUUUCCAUACUGUGCAAGCUUUGAAAUUAAAUUGCACCAUCAUUAGGAUUGCAUAGUGUAAGAAAUCUGAAGUUGGAAAAAAAGAGUAAGAACCAGAAGAAGCCCUUGUAGACUUCCCAGCAAAGCAGGUAGAUGGAUUCUGGUUGUCGCUUCAGGUCUCUGAUAAUUUGCAGAGACUCAUUCUUGUCAAAUAUCCAGUUUAUGGAUCCCGCUCUUUCAUACUUGUUGGAUCACCAGGUCCAGUCCUGUUUUACCAGUUUUACUCCCUGAAGUUACAGUUUCAUACCUGUUUAUCUCUUCUACUAUGUCAAAAAUAAGAUGUACCCCGAGCCAGUCCCUUCGCGGCCGAGUCAUGCCAACAUUCUGCUGCAGCUAUGGGUUAAAGCUAAGAUGAAGUACUGUUGGACCCUAUGUUGUUAAAAUAGGGCACUGUUUUAUGUGAAGCAGGAUGUGGCAAAAACUAUUAAACAGUGCAAAGUGCAUUAUUUUGAUGUUUGUGAUUACUGUUGAGGUUUGCAAAUCUCUCCAAAAUUGGGCUUGACUUGUUUAAAUGGUCAAAUGGGGCAACGGCAAAGCCAGAAAAAAUUAAGAAAAAUUCUAGGCUGAAACAAAGGUUUCAUCACUGAAACAUUGUGCAAGUCAUUAUAUAGUCUUUAAAUGAUAAAGCACAAGGAAAGCACGUGAUUGCUGGUCAAAUGUUUACAUACUUAUCUUGUAUAUAAAUUUUUGAAAUAAUUCGAUCUCAGCUGUUCUCUUUUUGGGGUUACAUGAUUAUACGAAACAAAUGCACAAGUUUGCAUUUUUAUAGAUUUUUCUUGUAAGUUUGUAAAGGACACCAGAUCAAAUACUGGGGCUGUAUGAGUAUAUAUAAGCUUAUCUUAUUACUUUGAUCCUGUGUAGUUAAGGGAAAGUUCACGCUCAGUUCUGGCUUAUUAAGUCAUUAAAGAUCUUUGUGGUACAAUCACUUAACAAACCCCAAAUUAACAUGAUGCUCACACUCACCAUGAGUGGAUGUAAACUUCUGAA